GAGGGAGUAUGAAGGUUCAGAUGUACCAGAGACGUCUUGCGGUAAACGUCGAUGCUCCACUCGUUCUCAAUGGUUUUGGAACGAACAAUAGACGUUGUAUUCUCCUAUAGUCGUCCAGCAAUCUCGCGAAUCUGAUCUUGACUAGGAUUAAUGAUCCCAUGGUUGAAGAUGUUCAACAAGAUUUUAAUUUGUUCUGGGGUGGACCGCCAUCGUUUGUAUCUCGUCUUGGCUUCGAUAUCCAUUUUUUCUAAGUUUUUGUUCAUACUUCUUCUAUAAAAAAAUAAUAAAAAAAAUAUAAGUAAAAAGAUUUAUUACGUUCAAGUCAAGUUUUCAUUUUAAGUCAAGUUUCCAUUUUGCUUUUUCUUUUUUUAGUUUAAAUUUUAAUUGUCCAGUCCUUGAAGCUUCAAUGUCCAGAAAUAGAUCUGUUUCACGGUCAUCGCAAUGGGUC
rnacentral:lncRNA from 1 species